AUGGCCGACGACGGCAAGCCCCGCGACCAGACCCUCCAGGAGCUCGACGCGCUCAGCCACACGCUCUACCAGGCGCACAGCAACCGCCGCCACGCGUCGCUCGCCCUCCCGCGCGGUGUCGUCGGCGAGGAUGUCUUAGCGGCGGAGGCGCUCAGGGCAGAGGCCGCGCGCCCGCGUACCCGCCGCAUGUCCAUGACCUCGCCGUUCCGGUCGAGGGGAAAGGCGGGGAAGAAGGAGGAUGACGACGAGGACGACGACCGCGGCGUUCUGAGCGCCGCGGCGCCGUCCAAGAGCCGGAGCUUCGCCGCCGCGGCCUCCCCGGCGCUGGGCGGCGGGGAGAAGAAGAAGGGGUUAUGGGGCUGGAAGCCGAUGCGCGCGCUGUCGCACAUCGGCAUGACCCGCCUCGGCUGUCUCUUCUCCGUCGAGGUGGCGGUGGCGCAGGGCCUGCCGUCGUCCAUGGACGGGCUCCGCCUCGCCGUGGCCGUACGCAAGAAGGAGUCGCGCGAGGGCGCCGUGCAGACGAUGCCGUCCCGUGUGCAGCAGGGGGCGGCGGACUUCGAGGAGACGCUCUUCGUCCGUUGCCACGUCUACUGCAGCGGCGGGGGCGCCGGCAAGCCUCCGGCGAAGUUCGAACCCCGUCCGUUCCUCCUGUCCGUGGUCGCCGUGGACGCGCCGGAGCUGGACCUUGGCCAGAGCACGGUGGACGUGAGCGCCCUCGUCAAGGAGUCCACGGAGAAGAGCCAGCAAGGGGAGCGCGUCCGGCAGUGGCAGAUGGCGUUCCCGCUCGCCGGCAAGGCCAAAGGCGGCGAGCUCGUCGUGACGCUCGCGUUCCAGAUCAUGGAGGACGGCGGCGUCGGGCUGUACAGCCAGCCGGCCACCAAGACUGCUGCCUCCUCCUCUACCUCGUCGGCGUUGUUCGCACGGAAGCAGAGCAAGACGUCGUUUAGCAUCACGAGCCCCAAGGUCACGCGAUCGGAGCCGUCAUUUACGCCGGCGAAGGGCACGCCUGCGCAGGACUUGAGUGGCAUCGACGACUUCAAGCUCGACGGACCUAGUGCUCCGGUGCCCGAGCCCAAGCAGGAUCAGAAGAGAGAGCCGGAGCCGGAGCCGGAGGCGAAAGUGGAUGACUCGGAGUUCCCGGAGUUCGACUUCGAUGUCGUCGACAAAGGCGUGGAGGGGCAAGAAGAGAAGGACGAAGCGAACGCCGACAGCAAGAAAGAAGACAAGGAUAAGGAGGAGGAGGAGGAGGGCACAACGCCGGCGGCCGGCGAUGAGGUGGUCAAGGAGGUCGUGCACGACAGCGCGAGCAUGUGGCGCCUCAACGAGCUGGAGGCGAUCACCAACCAGAUCAAGGCGCUAGAGUCACUGAUGCUCGGCGACACGCCGGAAGAGGAUGCCGACAAGCCGGCAGAGCCGCAGGAGGACGAGGCAGCGGUGGAGGGGCUGGAGGCCGACGAGGAGGAGGUCACCAGAGAGUUCCUGCAGCUGCUGGAGCAGGGAGAGGACAAUGGCAAGUCAGCGGCCGCUCCUCAGGUGUCAUCGCUCAAGUCCAGCGCGAAGCCGGGCACCGGCGCCGACGAGGCUUGCUACAUCUCCGACCUCGGCAAGGGGCUUGGCCCCAUCGUGCAGACCCGGGACGGCGGCUACCUGGCCGCAACGAACCCGUUUGACAUCCCGGUUGUUAGAAAGGAGCUUCCCAAGCUCGCCAUGCAACUGUCCAAGCCGUUCAUCCUCCGCGGCCAGAAGCUCCCCGGCGGCGGCGCGGAGGUGUUCCAGCGGCUGUGCGCCGGCGGAUGCGAGGCCCUGUGCGCGAAGCUGGGUGCACUCACCGCGACCGACGAGGUAGUCGGCAAGACGGCAGAGCAGAUCGCCUUCGAGGGCAUGGCGUCGGCGAUCAUCAGCGCGCGGAGCAAGGAGCUCGGCGCGAGCUCCAGCGCGGCCGAGUCCGUCUCUCUGCUCCGGACAAUGUCGGCGGCGAUGAGCGACGGGCGCAAGGAGAGGAUCGCCACCGGCAUCUGGAACGCCCAUGAGGCGCCGGUGACCGUGGACGAGAUCCUGCCGUUCUCGCUGCAAAAGAUAGAGACGAUGGCCAUCGAAGCGCUCAAGGUGCAGGCCGGCACCGCCGAAGAGCAGGCUCCCUUCGACGUGUCCCCGGUCACCGACGCGGCGGACGGCGGGCACCCCCUGGACGCCGCCGUGCCGCCGGAGGAGUGGGCGAGCGCGUGCGCCGGCGCGGACGCGGCGACCAUGCUGGUGGUGGCGCAGCUGAGGGACCCCAUGCGCCGGUACGAGGCGGUCGGCGCGCCGUCCAUCGUGGUAAUCCAGGCGGGACGGGCCGCCACCGGCGCCGAUGGCGAGACCAGGUUCAAGGUGGCCAACAUGCACGUCGGGGGCAUGCGGCUGAAGACGGCCGACCGGCGUAGCGUGUGGGACGGCGAGAGGCAGAGGCUGACGGCGACGCACUGGCUCGUCGCCUACGGGCUCGGCAAGGCCGGCAAGAAGGGACGGCCGUCGGGGGCCGCAGCGGGGAAGGUCGGGACCGACGUGCUCUGGAGCAUGUCGUCGAGGGUGGUCGCCGACAUGUGGCUCAAGCCGAUGCGCAACCCGGACGUGAAGAUCGCAGCCAACUAG
rnacentral:rRNA from 1 species